rnacentral:rRNA from 1 species
AUUGAACGCUGGCGGCAGGCCUAACACAUGCAAGUCGAGCGGAUGAAGGGAGCUUGCUCCUGGAUUCAGCGGCGGACGGGUGAGUAAUGCCUAGGAAUCUGCCUGGUAGUGGGGGAUAACGUCCGGAAACGGGCGCUAAUACCGCAUACGUCCUGAGGGAGAAAGUGGGGGAUCUUCGGACCUCACGCUAUCAGAUGAGCCUAGGUCGGAUUAGCUAGUUGGUGGGGUAAAGGCCUACCAAGGCGACGAUCCGUAACUGGUCUGAGAGGAUGAUCAGUCACACUGGAACUGAGACACGGUCCAGACUCCUACGGGAGGCAGCAGUGGGGAAUAUUGGACAAUGGGCGAAAGCCUGAUCCAGCCAUGCCGCGUGUGUGAAGAAGGUCUUCGGAUUGUAAAGCACUUUAAGUUGGGAGGAAGGGCAGUAAGUUAAGACCUUGCCGUUUUGACGUUACCAACAGAAUAAGCACCGGCUAACUUCGU